GCGCCGAAAAUGUACCGGGGCUAAACAUAUUACCGAAGCUGUGGAUUGUCCUUUGGACAAUGGUAGGAGAGCGUUCUAAGGGCGUUGAAGCAUGAUCGUAAGGACAUGUGGAGCGCUUAGAAGUGAGAAUGCCGGUGUGAGUAGCGAAAGACGGGUGAGAAUCCCGUCCACCGAUUGACUAAGGUUUCCAGAGGAAGGCUCGUCCGCUCUGGGUUAGUCGGGUCCUAAGCUGAGGCCGACAGGCGUAGGCGAUGGAUAACAGGUUGAUAUUCCUGUACCACCUAUAAUCGUUUUAAUCGAUGGGGGGACGCAGUAGGAUAGGCGAAGCGUGCGAUUGGAUUGCACGUCUAAGCAGUAAGGCUGAGUAUUAGGCAAAUCCGGUACUCGUUAAGGCUGAGCUGUGAUGGGGAGAAGACAUUGUGUCUUCGAGUCGUUGAUUUCACACUGCCGAGAAAAGCCUCUAGAUAGAAAAUAGGUGCCCGUACCGCAAACCGACACAGGUAGUCAAGAUGAGAAUUCUAAGGUGAGCGAGCGAACUCUCGUUAAGGAACUCGGCAAAAUGACCCCGUAACUUCGGGAGAAGGGGUGCUCUUUAGGGUUAACGCCCAGAAGAGCCGCAGUGAAUAGGCCCAAGCGACUGUUUAUCAAAAACACAGGUCUCUGCUAAACCGUAAGGUGAUGUAUAGGGGCUGACGCCUGCCCGGUGCUGGAAGGUUAAGAGGAGUGGUUAGCUUCUGCGAAGCUACGAAUCGAAGCCCCAGUAAACGGCGGCCGUAACUAUAACGGUCCUAAGGUAGCGAAAUUCCUUGUCGGGUAAGUUCCGACCCGCACGAAAGGCGUAACGAUUUGGGCACUGUCUCAACGAGAGACUCGGUGAAAUCAUAGUACCUGUGAAGAUGCAGGUUACCCGCGACAGGACGGAAAGACCCCGUGGAGCUUUACUGUAGCCUGAUAUUGAAAUUCGGCACAGCUUGUACAGGAUAGGUAGGAGCCUUUGAAACGUGAGCGCUAGCUUACGUGGAGGCGCUGGUGGG
rnacentral:rRNA from 1 species